rnacentral:rRNA from 1 species
AGGAUGAACGCUGGCGGCGUGCCUAAUACAUGCAAGUCGAGCGCCCCUUUAAGAGGUGACAAUCAACGAUUGUCGGUUCCUAUGGGGAGCGGCGGACGGCUGAGUAACGCGUGGGAACGUGCCCCAAAGUGAGGGAUAAGCACCGGAAACGGUGUCUAAUACCGCAUAUGAUCUUCGGAUUAAAGCUUUAUGCGCUUUGGGAGCGGCCUGCGUCCUAUUAGAUAGUUGGUGAGGUAAAGGCUCACCAAGUCAACGAUGGGUAGCUGGUCUGAGAGGAUGACCAGCCAGACUGGAACUGAGACACGGUCCAGACUCCUACGGGAGCAGCAGUAAGAAUCUACACAUGGG